rnacentral:rRNA from 1 species
UACGUAGGGUCCGAGCGUUGUCCGGAAUUACUGGGCGUAAAGAGCUCGUAGGUGGUUUGUCGCGUUGUUCGUGAAAACUCACAGCUCAACUGUGGGCGUGCGGGCGAUACGGGGCAGACUUGAAGUACUGCAGGGGGAGACUGGAAUUCCCUGGUGUAGCGGUGGAAUGCGCCAGAUAUCAGGAGGAACACCGGUGGCGAAGGCGGGUCUCUGGGCAGUAACUGACGCUGAGGAGCGAAAGCGUGGGGAGCGAACAGGA